GGCCAGGGAAGAAGCAGGUAGUCCUUUCCCAUCAAUGUCACCUGUUUCUGUUCUCCCGUGUCCAAACCCAGCUGAGUUCCUGGAGUGAGGAACCAGCAUCCGAUUCCAGGAUGAGAGAGAGAACUUUGGUAACCUUUCUCCUGUAAAAUGUCCUGGUGUCAAUAUUUUGGAUGAAUUCGACUAAUACAGAAGACUGUGGCCAUUUCCAGUCCCACUUUAUAUCCUGCUAAAGACUCAGAGCUAACUGGACUCGUGCAGCAAAAAACCCAUUUGUUCCAACUGAAAGAUGCCAAUGGGACUUAAGUUCACAAUCAGAAGAAACAUCUAGACCUGAACGGGAGAGCCUAGGCCAUUGAGACACCUGUGAGAAUACCGAGGUGUGGAAAGAAAUAAAGUGAUGUGCCCAAGAUCACGUAGCUGGUUAGAGACUAAAAGGAACCCCCACAGCCUCUGGCACCAGGUGAACCUCAGCACUGCCCCCAUCACCUCCUGGAUGUCCUCAGAUCCUUCCCUGCACUCACCUCAGUGACUCUCCACUGGCCUGCUUCUUCAUUUCUAUCUCUUGUGCGUGAAGGUUUGGGGACUGACUAUCUGUGAAAUGGAAGCACCUUUAGAAUUAUAUUUUUUAAUAUCUAGGAACAUCAUUUUAAGUAACUAGGCUUAUAGCCAGAGUUUUCCACUGAG